UAGACCCGAGGCUUCCGCCUUCCCGGUCAGGCCCCGCCCCCAAGGCCGGCUCCGCCCCUGUGCACUCCCGCGGGUGGGGUCUCCGCGCGCGCUACCCUCAUCUGAUAGCUCAAGUUCCUGCCGCGCUUGGAAGUGACUUUCCCAAUUCCGCUCCCCUGGGCGGCUGCGGCUUCCCUGACUCAGGGAAGGGGGCUACCGGGCCCCGGCAGACAAGUCCGGUCCGCUGCGUCUAUCGGGUCCGGCGAAGGAGACUGAUAUUGCUUGGCGUGUUGGUCUGACUACAACGCGGCUUAGUGGUAGAAAAAUCUGGCCACGCAACAGAGGGACAGAAAGAAAAUACAAACCACUCGGGCAGACGGGCACCGUAACCCUCCCAUUUUACCAAGCAAGAAACAAGCCCGGGGAGAUUAAGCCUGGCCCCGUGUUUGCGCCAGUGGGCUGCUUGGGUCCCAGAGCAAUCUAAUUCUGUCCUUUGAGACAGGUGUGGUUCUGAGCCGGUUCUGAGUUCUGCGCACACCGCCGUAGCUGGAAGAUGAGUGGCUGGGCCCAUUGGGGCACCCACGAACCUGGAUUCAGACCUUGUCACCGUGAUUAACUUUCAGCGUUACCACGAGCAUGUCGUCCUGAACUUUACAAAUCUCACUGCUGGAAAUUUAAGUGAAAUACAUGUAACCUGGUUUUCGAGGUCCCGCCAACAGGUGAUAAAAAGGGAAGGGAUCUAACAUUGUUAGACACGCUGAACCGCUUCCCUGCCAGGCACUUUGCAAUACAAAAUACCUCAUUUAAGCUUCGCUACACCCUACAACUGAUGUUACGUUUCUCUUUUUACCGCGGGAGACAUCGAGUCUAUUAAUUUGCUAAUCCGUGCCGAGAUUAGGUCCUCUGCUCUCUGGCCUAUUUUAGAAAAGAGUUUAUGGGAGGGCAAACCUCUAGGGGCUGCUUGGAUUCGCCUUACACCGGAGCCGGAGGAGCCUGCGACUUAACUAGGGACAGUCUUAAGGACACCAGGGCUGUUACAAAUAUUGCCUCAGAAGUUUGGGCUCCUUGAAAACCCGUGAAAGGAGCCACAAGGCCAGAAGGCAAGCAAGGGGAGGGGGAAGACUGAUGUAGCAAUUCAAUGGGCAGAGUGAGGGGGGGGGGGAAAGGAAGGUCCGGAAAUGAUUAACUGGGCCGGGUAGUGGUUAGAGUGGGGCACCUCCCUGAAGUGCAAUCUUGGAGCAGCCCAAGGUCACUCCCUUGGUCACUUCUCACUACUCCCUCAACCCCAGCAGUCCUCUGUUAAUGGUGUCCACCUUCCUGCAGCAUCUUUGAGACCUUUCCCCCCCUUUGUUUCUUCAAAGUUCCUUUGCCCUUUUUCAAAUUAUAUUAUUGAAGUUAUUGCAGUGAGGAGUUGUGGAAAGUGCAUAGGAAGCCAGGUAAGCAAAUGUUCAAAUCUUAAUUCUGCCAUUAUUUGGUGGCCAACCUUAGCAAGUGUUUUUAGUCCUUACCCCUCCCCCAACCUUUUCCUUAAUCUGUAAAACUGGAAAAAUAAUACGUAUCUGAAAAAGAAAUUAAAUCACGAGAUUUACUACCAUGUAGUAGGUAUUAAAUAUAGUUUUGUUUAUAACAGCAGUUGUGGGAUGCUUCCCACAGGAUAAACAAUAAACAAUAAUAUCUAACCUUUGCUCAAGCUCUUCCAUCUAUCUCCUCCUACCAGCCUAUUUAUCUUUCAGGCUGGGCUCAACCAAUCUUCUGUUUCUCUCAGGACAUGUUCCCCAUUUGGUGUCUAUAGCCCCUCAUUUGGCCAUGGAACAGUCUGACUCAUGCUGUCUUAUACUGAACUACAUCCCCACUUGGCAAGAGGAAGGGACUGUCCUGCCUGGCAUAGAAAAUCUGAAUUUGCACCCCCACCACCCACUCAGACCACCUCUAGGCUCAAGCUUCCCCAAAACAUUUGGUCAUUAGAAGAGCAGGACAAUGGACAAAACUGCAACUUCUUCUUUUAAGAAGAAAAGAGUCGGCUGCUGAGUAGGUUUCAUGGAAGGACGCAGAAAUACUUUCUGGAUGCUAUGAUUCCAGCCUGUGAUCCAGACUCCAG